rnacentral:rRNA from 1 species
CGCGGUUAAACCAAGAGAUUAAGUUAUAUUUUUAGGUAAAAAGACAGUUAGGUAUUAAUUAUCUAGUUUGUUAAUCUUUCAUAAAAAGGUAAAAUUUGAAUAUGGAGAGCUAAUUUAAAUAUAACUUUUAUUACUGAAGCUGUGAUAAUCUUGAGGGAAACUGGGAUUAGAUACCCCACUAUUCUUGAUUGUAAAUCUAAUAAAAUUUACCAGAGUACUAUGAAUAUAAAAAAUUUAAAACUCAAAGGGCUUGGCGGUGUUUUAGACCUGUCAGGGGAACCUGUUUCGUAAUCGACAGUCCACGUUAGACCUAACCUUAUUUUGUUUUUCAGUUUGUAUACCGUCGUCGUCAGGUAACUUUUAAAAAUUUAGAAGUUAGCGAAGAAAUUCUAAAUUAAAACGUCAGAUCAAGGUGCAGUCAAUAAUAAGGAGAGAAUGGGUUACAAUUAUCUGAAUUUAUAACUACGAAAAAUUUCAUGAAACUGUAAUUAGAAGGAGGACUGAAAGUAAAAUAUAGUAUAUAAAUAGUUUGAAUAUGGCUCUG